AUAGGAUGACUGGAGGAUGGAAGGUGGUCCAAAAGAUGGAAGAAGGCUUACAAGAGUGGUGAGACGUGGUCAAGUCUAGCCAAAUGUUCUAGUACUAGCAUGGCUGGACCUCAACCAGGAAGGACUGAAUGAACAAGAAGGACUCAGACACUUCGGAUGCAGUGAUUGAGGGACCUUGGAGAAAGAAUGGCAUUUUAAAAAGGACUAAAGAUGUACAACACAGAGAUUUUACAAACCAAACAGCAGAAGAUCCAACAUUGCAUGCGAACUCUGUAAGUUUUUAAGGCAGCCAUUGCUGAACUUACCUAUAUUUUGUGACCAGACAGAAAGAACACAGAAACACAAAAGAUGUGGAGCCCAUGAUACAGAGGGCUGACUCUACUACUGCAUACUCAUCUUCCUACAAGAAAACCAAUAAGACUCUUCAAACAAAAGGAUUUUUUGUCAACUUUGAGAGGUGAAAAUGCACUCAGUGAAGCGUAGCUCCCUGGAGCAAGUUAGUGAAUAUUAAUGUUCAGCAGAUCAUAAGGAGCUACAAGUCCACUGAUGUAGGAGGCCAAGGGGAAGAUAACAGAACAAGGCUGGUGGAUGGGCCCUGCCAAGAGAAGGGACAAUCGCAUUGGACAUAAUGGCGCUGAUAUGGAAAUGGAGUUUGAAAUACCGGGAAUUGAAGAUGCCCGGAACCAGGAGACAGACAGGGAUGAAAGGAGAAGUUCCACUCAGUAGUCUCUGGUCCAACCUCAAGCAGGCUGCAGAUGAGGCUGGCCUCAGACCUGCAGUUCCCACCAGCACAGAGAUUUGUAGGCCCUGCCUCAAAAUUAAUACCCACCGAUUGCCAGUUAAUCACGGAGCCUGAUUUUGGAGUGAAGAAUUUCAGACCUGAAAUAUCUGUGUGAAGAAGAUUUUGUAUCCAUUUCACGGCUUCAGAGAUGGCUGUCCCCCAUAUCAUUCUAAAUCGCUGACUCUCUCUAAUUUUCAAAAACUGUUUUCAGGAGAGGAGGGUGUAGAAUUUUCCCUGUUAUUUACUUCAAGUUCAAAAUUGUAGAUUCAGACACAAAGGGUGACUACCACCCAAUGACGAUGCUUGGGCCCAGAACAGUAAAUCAUUGGCUCAGAAUCAACACAGCUGGAGUCUGAACCAGAAAUACAACCCAAGUCAAGCAUCUUGCUUACCCUGUUCAAAUCCCUUUGCAUUUACUGUCAAUCAGGGGUGUAGCAACACUCUUCUUGUUACGAGGCAGACAUACUGCAACUUUUCAACAAAUACUGAUUAAGUAGCAACUUGAAAGCUGCAAUCAGAUUCUUCCUUUUUCUCCAAGAGCUUACAGUGUGGUUGAGAAGGAAAAUUAGAUGGUCAAUAAUCAAAUCACCAUACAAAACAAUACCAAGCCAAACAAAUGAAAAACACACUCAUGAGAAGAGAUCAAUGAUUCUCAAUGUAUUUUUUGAAAAAACAACCCCAUGAGAUGGGCCAUGCAUAAGUAAAUAAAUAAAAAUUCUAUGACCAUAUUAUGUUUGUGGCAUGGUGCACAUUAUAGACACAAGGCACAAAAUAUUUUAAAUGAUCUAAGACAUCCCACAGUAAAGAAACUUACUGAAUACUUCACAGUCUUAUAUUUCUCACACUCAUUUGACCAGAAGACCUUUUCAAGACUUUCAAUAGACUUGGCCUUUUCCUAUCUCACCUACAGGACCCUAAACUCCAGCCACAGUUAUAAUGACACUAAUGUCACGUGCUUUGUAUCCUAGUCAUAUUUGAACACCUGACUCUUAAAACAGUAUCUAGCAUGUGGCUUUGCAUCUAUUUUUUGAAUUAAUACAUAAUCUGCUUGAUGCUAUGGAGGAGCCCAAGAUCACUAACUCCUGGUCUUGGUAGGAGACCAGGUAGACUUCUGCAAUGUUAGUGUUUAUAUGAGUCCAUCUGGGGACACUGGUAACAUGAGUUUCCCAGGCAGUAGAUUUAGGGCAGAGGCUGAUAUUCUGAUUUCCUAAGAGUUUCACGGGUGAAAUCAACCAAUGCUGCUGUCCCAGAGUCAUGCUUUAAAGCCCCAAGGAGCUAGAAGUUCUCAUGCAAGCAAGAAGCAGACACCAUGAAAAGAUGACAUAUUUGUCAUAAGAGAUCAAGGACGCAGUGCUACAGGAAGAGCAGAGAGGACACAAUUUAUUCUUCCUGGGCAGAGAUGGUCACUGCACUAACACAAGAGGACUUCUGUGAGGUUCAAAUGCGAUGAUAUAGGAGAACACCAAGCACAAUGUGCAGCUCUAAUCCACGGGGUAGAAACCAGAUCCCUUGAUAAGGUAUCUCCAAGUAGCUUUGGAAUCGUGCACAGUUAUCUAGUAGGAACCUGUACAUUCUUCAUCCUUCUACUGCAGCAUUGUGGAAAGAGUGAAUUCAGUGUAACCCUACCUGUUGGAUACAUACUUAUGGUCCUUCUGCCUCUGUCUUCCAAGUCGCCAUGAUUAUAGGCAUAUGCAUGCAUGCUAGGCAGCCCAGAUUUUUAUGGGUGUUAUUUUUCUAUCAAGUCACUCACCUUCAGAAAGAAUUGUGGUGAUAGUAAUGAAGAUAUCUUCAGUUUUAUUGGAAAAUAUUCCCCCCAAAAAACAAAGAGGAUGCAAAGAAUAGAUCACAAUAAGAGAAUGAUGGCUGAAGAUUCCAGCCUGUCUUCCUGGCUACCAGAAGUAACACCAAACAGCAAGCACCAGCUGGAACAGAAAACAUGGGAAUCCUGGAGCAGAAGAAAGGUGGAGUAGUAAUGACAGUCUUUGAGGCUAUAAAAGUAAAACAUCACAAAGAAUUACUUUUAUCUUAUAAUAAAUAAAAGGUAUAGGGAACUGGUAGAUUUUGUGGAGAUAGGCAAGAGAUAUGGGAGUGGGCAAGAGAUGGGAGGAAAACAGGAAGUAAAGUGAUUAAGAUGUGAGGUAUAUAGGUAUAGAUAG